rnacentral:rRNA from 1 species
AUGGUAGGAUAGAGGCCUACCAUGGUGGUAACGGGUAACGGGGUGUUAGGGCACGACACCGGAGAGGGAGCCCGAGAAACGGCUACCACAUCCAAGGAUGGCAGCAGGCGCGCAAAUUACCCAAUCCCGACACGGGGAGGUAGUGACAAUAAAUAACAAUACGGGGUUCUUUAGGAUCUCGUAAUUGGAAUGAGUACAAUUUAAAUCUCUUAACGAGGAACAAUUGGAGGGCAAGUCUGGUGCCAGCAGCCGCGGUAAUUCCAGCUCCAAUAGCGUAUAUNAAAGUUGUUGCAGUUAAAAAGCUCGUAGUUGAAUUUCGGGGUCAGUAGGUCGGUCGUGCCACUGGUAUGAACUGGUUUUACUGAUUCCUCCCUCUUGAAGAACUGUAAUGCCAUUAAUUUGGUGUUGCAGGGAAUCAGGACUGUUACUUUGAAAAAAUUAGAGUGUUUAAAGCAGGCUUUAGCUUGAAUACAUUAGCAUGGAAUAAUGAAAUAGGACGUUUGAUCCUAUUUUGUUGGUUUCUAGGAUUGACGUAAUGAUUAAUAGGGAUAGUUGGGGGCAUUAGUAUUCAAUUGUCAGAGGUGAAAUUCUUGGAUUUAUUGAAGACUAACUACUGCGAAAGCAUUUGCCAAGGAUGUUUUCAUUAAUCAAGAACGAAAGUUAGGGGAUCGAAGACGAUCAGAUACCGUCGUGGUCUUAACCAUAAACUAUGCCGACUAGGGAUCGGAUGAUGUUAAUUUUUUAAUGACUCAUUCGGCGCCUUACGGGAAACCAAAGUGUUUGGG